rnacentral:rRNA from 1 species
AUUGAACGCUGGCGGCAGGCCUAACACAUGCAAGUCGAGCGGAUGAAGGGAGCUUGCUCCUGGAUUCAGCGGCGGACGGGUGAGUAAUGCCUAGGAAUCUGCCUGGUAGUGGGGGAUAACGUCCGGAAACGGGCGCUAAUACCGCAUACGUCCUGAUGGAGAAAGUGGGGGAUCUUCGGACCUCACGCUAUCAGAUGAGCCUAGGUCGGAUUAGCUAGUUGGUGGGGUAAAGGCCUACCAAGGCGACGAUCCGUAACUGGUCUGAGAGGAUGAUCAGUCACACGGGAACUGAGACACGGUCCAGACUCCUACGGGAGGCAGCAGUGGGGAAUAUUGGACAAUGGGCGAAAGCCUGAUCCAGCCAUGCCGCGUGUGUGAAGAAGGUCUUCGGAUUGUAAAGCACUUUAAGUUGGGAGGAAGGGCAGUAAGUUAAUACCUUGCUGUUUUGACGUUACCAACAGAAUAAGCACCGGCUAACUUCGUG